rnacentral:rRNA from 1 species
GUCUGAUGGAGCAACGCCGCGUGAACGAUGAAGGCCUUCGGGUCGUAAAGUUCUGUUGUAAGGGGAAGAACAAGUGCCGCAGGCAAUGGCGGCACCUUGACGGUACCUUGCGAGAAAGCCACGGCUAACUACGUGCCAGCAGCCGCGGUAAUACGUAGGUGGCAAGCGUUGUCCGGAAUUAUUGGGCGUAAAGCGCGCGCAGGCGGCCUCUUAAGUCUGAUGUGAAAGCCCCGGCUCAACCGGGGAGGGCCAUUGGAAACUGGGAGGCUUGAGUAUAGGAGAGAAGAGUGGAAUUCCACGUGUAGCGGUGAAAUGCGUAGAGAUGUGGAGGAACACCAGUGGCGAAGGCGACUCUUUGGCCUAUAACUGACGCUGAGGCGCGAAAGCGUGGGGAGCAAACAGGAUUAGAUACCCUGGUAG